rnacentral:rRNA from 1 species
GUCCACGCCCUAAACGAUGUCAACUGGUUGUUGGGAAUUCACUUUCUCAGUAACGAAGCUAACGCGUGAAGUUGACCGCCUGGGGAGUACGGCCGCAAGGUUAAAACUCAAAGGAAUUGACGGGGACCCGCACAAGCGGUGGAUGAUGUGGUUUAAUUCGAUGCAACGCGAAAACCUUACCACCUUUGACAUGUAUGGAAGAUCGCAGAGACGCGAUUGUGCUCGAAAGAGAGCCAUAACACAGGUGCUGCAUGGCUGUCGU